GUGGUGUAAAUGUCCUGAGAGGUUAUUAUGGCCAGACUGUGGUGUAAAUGUCCUGAGAGGUUAUUAUGGCCAGACUGUGGUGUAAAUGUCCUAAGAGGUUAUUAUAGCCAGACUGUGGUGAAAAUGUCCUGAGAGGUUAUUAUGGCCAGACUGUGGUGUAAAUGUCCUGAGAGGUUAUUAUGGCCAGACUGUGGUGUAAAUGUCCUGAGAGGUUAUUAUAGUCAGACUGUGGUGAAAAUGUAAUUUCUCUGAAGAGGUGUCAGGAGAGUUCCAGAGAUGUGAUCUAUACCUAUCAGAAUGCACUCAAUAGUACUCAAGUAUUUAAGUAUUAAAAAGUAUCACAUGUCUUCAAUACCCAACUUUUCUAGCUAGUCUUACUUUAACAGCUCCACUUGAGUUCUUAAAAUUAACCUGAAUUUAUUUGGCCUAAAACUAGUUCUCAGAUCUCGGAUA
ensembl:lncRNA